UCAAGCGCGAAAAGGGCGUUUGGUGAAUGCCUUGGCAGUAAGAGGCGAUGAAAGACGUGAUACUCUGCGAUAAGCCAUGGGGAGCUGAGAAUAAGCUUUGAUCCAUGGAUUUCUGAAUGGGGCAACCCACCUGAUACUUUGUUAUUAUUGCUCAGCAAUGAGCAGCUAAUAAUGAGGUAAACCAGGUAUUUCUAGACUGAAUAUAUAGGUUUAGAAAAGCAAACCCGGGGAACUGAAACAUCUAAGUACCCGGAGGAAAGGAAAUCAAUUGAUACUCCCCUAGUAGCGGCGAGCGAACGGGGACCAGCCGAGCCAUGAGUGUGGUUAGAAUGCGUUGGAAUGCGCAACCAGAGUGGGUGAUAGUCCCGUAUAAGAAGCAUGAUUGGACGUAUUAAGUAGGGCGGAACACGUGAAAUUCUGUCUGAAGAUCGGAGGACCACCUUCGAAGGCUAAGUACUCCUUACUGACCGAUAGUGAACCAGUACCGUGAGGGAAAGGUGAAAAGCACCCCGACGAGGGGAGUGAAACAGUACCUGAAACCGAACGCCUACAAUCAGUUGGAGGGGCUUUACGCCCUGACAGCGUACCUUUUGUAUAAUGGGUCAUCGACUUGGUCUCACGAGCAAGCUUAAGCCGUUAGGUGUAGGCGUAGCGAAAGCGAGUCUUAAUAGGGCGUUGAGUUCGUGGGAUCAGACCCGAAACCGAGUGAUCUAGGCAUGGCCAGGUUGAAGGUAAGGUAACACUUACUGGAGGACCGAACCCACAUCUGUUGAAAAAGAUCGGGAUGAGCUGUGCCUAGGGGUGAAAGGCCAAUCAAACUCGGAGAUAGCUGGUUCUCUGCGAAAUCUAUUUAGGUAGAGCGUCAUCCGAAUACCCUCGGGGGUAGAGCACUGGAUGGGUAAUGGGGCCCCACAGGCUUACUGAUCCUAACCAAACUCCGAAUACCGAGGAGUACUAGAUGGCAGACACACGGCGAAUGCUAACGUCCGUCGUGAAGAGGGAAACAACCCUGACCUCCAGCUAAGGCCCCUAAUUCAUGGCUAAGUGGGAAAGCAGGUGAGACGACCAAAACAACCAGGAGGUUGGCUUAGAAGCAGCCAUCCUUUAAAGAUAGCGUAACAGCUCACUGGUCUAAAUAAGUUGUCUUGCGGCGAAGAUGUAACGGGGCUCAAGCCAUGAGCCGAAGCUGAGGAUGCAUUUAUUGCAUGGUAGCAGAGCGUAGUGUGACAUAGUUCCAUGUGUCCUUAUCUUCCCUCGGGAAGAAUUGGACACAAGGAGCUUUCUGUGAAGCCGGCGCGUAAGCGAUCCGGUGGAGAGAUCACUAGUGAGAAUGAUGACAUGAGUAGCGACAAAGAGUGUGAGAAACACUCUCGCCGAAAGUCCAAGGGUUCCUGCUUAAAGCUAAUCUGAGCAGGGUAAGCCGACCCCUAAGGCGAGGCCGAAAGGCGUAGUCGAUGGGAACCAGGUUAAUAUUCCUGGGCCAGAUGGAAGUGACGGAUCUCGAGGGUAGUUCAUCCUUAUCGGAUUGAAUGGGCUGCUUAGAGGUUCCUGGAAAUAGCUCCAUCGCUAGAUCGUACCCUAAACCGACACAGGUGGACUGGUAGAGAAUACCAAGGCGCUUGAGAGAACUAUGUUGAAGGAACUCGGCAAAAUACCUCCGUAAGUUCGCGAGAAGGAGGCCCGGUUCCUAGGCAACUAGGGGCUGGGGGCACAAACCAGGGGGUGGCGACUGUUUAUUAAAAACACAGGGCUCUGCGAAGUCGCAAGACGACGUAUAGGGUCUGACGCCUGCCCGGUGCCUGAAGGUUAAAAGGAGGGGUGAGAGCUCUGAAUUGAAGCCCAGGUAAACGGCGGCCGUAACUAUAACGGUCCUAAGGUAGCGAAAUUCCUUGUCGGGUAAGUUCCGACCUGCACGAAUGGCGUAACGACUUCCCCGCUGUCUCCAACAUAGACUCAGCGAAAUUGAAUUACCUGUCAAGAUGCAGGUUUCCCGCGGUUAGACGGAAAGACCCCGUGCACCUUUACUACAGCUUCACACUGGCAUUAGGCCGAACAUGUGCAGGAUAGGUGGUGGGCUUUGAAACCGGAACGCCAGUUUCGGUGGAGCCUCCCUUGAGAUACCACCCUUGUUCUGCUUGAUGUCUAACCGCGGUCCGUUAUCCGGAUCCGGGACCCUGUGUGGCGGGUAGUUUGACUGGGGCGGUCGCCUCCUAAAUCGUAACGGAGGCGCGCGAAGGUUGGCUCAGAGCGGUCGGAAAUCGCUCGUUGAGUGCAAUGGCAGAAGCCAGCCUGACUGCGAGACUGACAAGUCGAGCAGAGUCGAAAGACGGCCAUAGUGAUCCGGUGGUCCCAAGUGGGAGGGCCAUCGCUCAACGGAUAAAAGGUACGCCGGGGAUAACAGGCUGAUACUGCCCAAGAGUCCAUAUCGACGGCAGUGUUUGGCACCUCGAUGUCGGCUCAUCUCAUCCUGGGGCUGGAGCAGGUCCCAAGGGUACGGCUGUUCGCCGUUUAAAGAGGUACGUGAGCUGGGUUUAGAACGUCGUGAGACAGUUCGGUCCCUAUCUUCCGUGGGUGUAGGAUACUUGAGAGGAGUUGCCCCUAGUACGAGAGGACCGGGGUGAACGAUCCACUGGUGGACCAGUUGUUAUGCCAAUAGCAGUGCUGGGUAGCUAUGAUCGGACAGGAUAACCGCUGAAGGCAUCUAAGCGGGAAGCCCCCCUCAAAACAAGGUAUCCCUGAGAGCCGAGGUAGACCACCUCGUCGAUAGGCCAGAGAUGUAAGCGUAGUAAUACGUUCAGUUGACUGGUACUAAUUGCUCGAUAGGCUUGAUUUG
rnacentral:rRNA from 1 species